GUCAGGAUGGCCGAGCGGUCUAAGGCGCCAGACUCAAGGUUACCUUGCCUAUUCCAUAGGUUUCGAGCGUUCUGGUCCACUCUGUGGGCGUGGGUUCGAAUCCCACUUCUGACA
rnacentral:ncRNA from 14 species